GCGUGGGUCCCAGCACCAUGCGCUCUUGCUCCGCGAGCUCAGCAUCCCGCCGGCCCAAUCAGCUACCCCGGCCACCCCGAGUCCUGCCCCCCCGCACCUCCGGGCGAAUCGUGGGCAUAGCGAAGGCCCCAGCAACGACGGGGAGGAGGAGAUGGAGGAAGACACCGUCGCCAACGGCUCCUGAGUGUCCGCGGGGCCGGUGUCCUCGGGGCGUGGGCCCCAGCCGCCGGAGACACGGUCCUGCCUUGAACGUGGAAUGAUAGCGUGAAGCUUCGCUGGGGGGCUCCGACGGCUGCAGUGGUUUCUCAUUCACAUUCUGAGAUCUCACCGCCUGAUUCGCACAGAGUGGAAUAGACACCCACUGCCUGCUGCUGGGCUGUGCGCGCAGUGGGUGUGUACGCCUUUAAGCGGGACCCGCAGGAGGCCUCGUUUCUGACCAGGCCUCCGUCUGUAAAACGUUUGGAUGUUUAAACGUUAAUAAAACUGGUGUUCACGGCA